UACAGAGGUGGCAAGCGUUGUUCGGAAUUACUGGGCGUAAAGGGCGCGUAGGCGGCCUUCUAAGUCAGACGUGAAAUCCCCCGGCUUAACCUGGGAACUGCGUCUGAUACUGGGAGGCUUGAGUAUGGGAGAGGGAUGUAGAAUUCCAGGUGUAGCGGUGAAAUGCGUAGAUAUCUGGAGGAACACCGGUGGCGAAGGCGGCAUCCUGGACCGGUAUUGACGCUGAGGCGCGAAAGCCAGGGGAGCAAACGGG
rnacentral:rRNA from 1 species